CCGAGUUUACGACUCCCAAACCCCUGUGAACAUACCUGUUUUGUUGCUUCGGCGGUGCCCUCGCUCUCGUGGCGAGGCCCGCCAGAGGACCCAAACAAACUCUUUGAUUUUGAUCUAGGAUUUUACUUCUGAGUGAUAUACAAAAUAAAUCA
rnacentral:misc_RNA from 1 species